AUGCUAUUUACAAUAGGACUUCUCCUCCUCCUCACCCCAUUCCCUUCAUUUCAAGCCACAACCAGUUUGAAAAGAGACUCUGCAGGAAGCGAUGUGAGGAAGGGUGACGCUGCCCUCACACAUUCAAAACCAAAACCCGCUGCUGUGCUCAACAAGCACGCUGUUCGUUCUGCUCCGAAGCCAAACGCCGUCAAUCUGACGGUUUUAUCUGCUCCAGCCAUCAACCAAAAACCGUCAGCAGUCAGCGCUACGCUGACGGCCAAAAGCAAACUCGGCCCGGCAGUAAUUCAAACCACUCCGUCGCCAGCAGUGAAAGCCACUACAUCCAGUAGCUCCGCCACCAUCAAAGACAAGCCCACAGGCCCUGUCAAUCGGACUGCUGAGACCAAACCCCUCUCCACCAGUGAUGUGAAGAACAAACCUGCCUCCAGUAGAGUUCAAACUCUUCUGUCAACACCAGCAAAGGCUGUUAAAGCAAUUAGUGCAGCGGAUAACAAGAAUAAGCUCACAGUGUCUGCCAGUGAGACCACUGUAACCAAGGCCCAGUCAAGCAGCUCUAGAACUAGGCCUCACCCUUUGGUUGAUCAGAAUGCUUCAGCAAAAUCACCCUCAGGCCCUGACGUGACAGAUAGCAAAGACAAGCCUGCACCCACGGGAGCAUCAGAUGCUCAGCCAACACCCACAAAGACUCUGUCAGUGAGUGGGGUCACAGCUACUAAAGAAAAACACCAGCUGCGGGCCAAUGAGACCAUUUCAGGGACAUCACAUUCAGUUAGUGAAGUGAAGCCCAGCAAAGACAGGUCGGCACCAACAGGUGUUUCAGAUGUUCAAUCAACACCCACAAAGUCUGCUUCAGCAAGAGUGGAUAAGGGCAUUAAAGAAAAAGUCCAACCUUCAGCCAGUGAGAAAGAGAUGCCAGAUGUUCAAUCACCUACAAAGUCAGUUACAGCCAAUGGUUCCAAAAUUACCAAAGAGAAAUCUACUGAGACUAGUUCAAGUAAAUUACCUUCAGGCAGUGAAGUGAUAUCUGUACCGACAGGAGUUCCAGAUGUUCCAUCAACAUCCAACAGGUCUACUUCCAAGACUGGUAAAGGUAAAGUCCAUCCUUCAAUCAAUGAGACAUCCACAGGAGCUGCAGGUGUUCAAUCAAAUCAAACACCCACAAAGUCAGUUACAGCCAACAAUUCCAAAAUUACCAAAGACAAAUCUUCUGAGACUAGUUCAAGUAAAUCACCUUCAGGCAGUGAAGUGAAAUCUGUACCGACAGGAGUUCCAGAUGUUCCAUCAACAUCCACCAGGUCUCCUUCCAUGACAGUUUCUCCCCCACCCUCAUCCGGUGAUGUUAAACCUAGCAAAAACAAGCCUAAAUCAACAGCAGCUACAAAUCCGCCUCAGUCUGGUUCAGGGAACUCACCCUCAGGCAGUGAAGCCACACCAAAACCAAAGAAGCCUGCACCAUCUAGAGCUCCAGAUGUUCAAUCAACAUCUGCAACGGCAGCUCCAGCCAGCGGCAAGAAUGUCACUGAUUUAUCAACACCUGUAAAACCCUCAGUCAAUGACACCAAACCACCAGCCACAACUAAAGAAAGCUCGGCUCCUUCCCAACCCAUUAAAGUCGUGAUCAGUAACGACUGCAACUCGGGCAACACCAAGCAGCAGGAGCUGGAGCUGCAGCCUGGUUCUCCUCUGGUCAUGACACAUAAGAUUAGCUUGUUACCCAGCGGCUGCACCGGGGAGUGUGAGUCUGAGAUGGCAGCGCUGACACGACGAGUGACUCGGCUCGAGAGAGAGAUGUCCCUCCUAAAAGACAAAUGUACGAUCGUGUUGUUAGCAAAGGUUCAUGCAUUUGACUAG
rnacentral:lncRNA from 1 species